AGGGCUGUGAUUCUCCUUUCAUCUGAUCCACAGGGGCAGAGAAGGGUGCCAGGGAGUGAGGGCGUGGCCUGGCUCUGGGGUCUUUGGGCCUGGUUUGAGGCUCCUCUGCCUCUCACAGGCCUUGUGACCCCGCUCAGUCCCUGCUGUGGGCGUGUGAGCAUGUAUGCAUAUCUGUAGACCCAGCUGGGCAGCGGGGCUCACGCCCCCCCAGGGAUUGGCCCCCAGCCCCAUCGGGUCGGUGCAGAGUGCCCUGACCGUGUUGCUGCCAUGUGUUUCAGGUGAGCCACCAGCUGGGCAGCAUCAUGGACCUCUUCACCACCAGCCUGGCCCUUGCGGGCCUGACGCCACCCAGCGACAGGGCCAUCGAUGGCCUCAACCUCCUCCCCACCCUCCUGCAGGGCCGGCUGAUGGACAGGCCUAUCUUCUAUUACCGUGGCGACACGCUGAUGGCGGCCACCCUCGGGCAGCACAAGGCUCACUUCUGGACCUGGACCAA
rnacentral:sRNA from 1 species